rfam:Brassica oleracea var. oleracea cultivar TO1000 chromosome C3, whole genome shotgun sequence
GUUAUUUUGAAUGUGAUUGAUCUCUUCCUCGACAAAACUAGAUAUUAACUUUCUUUCUUCUUUACAACAAAUCUAGUUUCCCUCAUUAUCUUGUUCGUCAAUUUCGAUGAUGUUUCUUAGGACGUCGGGGAACCAUAUGU